AAUCCAUCUGAGCUCCCAGCCGGGUCGAGCCGGGAGCGCGGUGGGUGCAGCUCCGGGGUGCCCCCAGCCCCUGCCCUCCGCCCGGCACUCACCGCGUCCCCUCGCUCGGCCGGGGGGACAUCUGAGGGGCGGCCCCGAGCCGCCCCGGCCCCGAGGUGCCCCGGCAUUGUGCGACGCAGAUUAGCCCGCACAAAGGGCCCGCAUCCCGGCUAAAUUAAAAGAAAAGCCUGCUAGGAAGAGCCGGCGACAAAUUACUACUUCAGCGCUGGAUUAAAUGUAAAAGCCCUUCACAGAGCUGCAGAUAAAUCCUGUGUGCUAAAAGGAACCAUAAAAUAACCGAAGUUUAUAAAAUUUCUGCCGACGCGGGGAAAGGGUCGCGGCAGCGCGGCGCUCCCUGCUGCCGCGGAGGGCACUGGAGCUGGACACAUCUGCGGCCACCGGGGCGAGCGUUCCGUGAAGUCCCAGCAAGCUUUUCCUCCCAUCUCCUCAGCCCAUUAUUGUCCGGCUCAGCGCUGGAUCAGCUGGGGCUGAUGACAGCCCAUCCACACUGCCCAGGCUCUACAGCCAGGAAAGCGUGGGUACCUCACACACACACACACACACAGAGCCUGGGUGACCCGCCAGGGGCUUGGCUUUGUUAGGGUUUGUUAAGAAGCAUUUCUGGGGGCAAGGAAGGGC
rnacentral:lncRNA from 1 species